rnacentral:lncRNA from 12 species
GAUGUGGUUUCAUUUGCACUGUUUUCCAGCAUGCUAGCAACCAAUAGCUUGGCCAGAUCUCUAGUCACAUACACCUUAAGUUUUAAUGGUUACCAUAGCAAUGAAAAAAGGCAUUACAAAAUGCACAAGCUGUUAACAUGUUGCAGAAGCCAAAAGAAAGAGCUAAGAAUAAACUUCUGCAAAUUCCUGAUCGCACCACAUUUAAGGAAAACUGCUGUUAAACCAACAUCAUGUCCCAGUCAAAUAGCUCAUUAAUCUGAAGCCGAGCCUGCGUAUCCCUCCCUUGGAGCUCUCCAUCAGCUGGGGCUGGGCCAUCUCCCUGUGAGAAUAUACUGAAGCUUUGGUAACUGCUACUUGACAGCUGGAAAACGAUGAUUGGACAAUCCAGUGAGAUCAGGGAGUCUAGAAUCCACAUAUAAUAAAGUGAGAUGGAAGCUGAGGGUUAAAGAACUCUGCAGAAAAUUGGAGAACAAGGAGCACAGGAGACCAAAGGAGAAAUAAAUGGGUACAUAUGACCUCUCACACCCCCAAGAGCCUGCAAUCUGCAUUUCCAAGAGACCACUGCAGAGAUUUCCACAGCACCUCUGCUUCUCUAAUGACAUGGGCACAAGAUUCCACCCUUAUUUCACAUUCAGCCAAUGCAGCUCUGCACAUGGAAAGAGCUUGGAUUCCAAGACUUCAGCACCUAUGGUCCUUCCCACUACCAGGAGUAUCACAGCGACAGACUACCUCUGACAUCCUUAAGACACUGGCAAGGAAGGAUACUGUCUGCUUCACCAACUUUAAAAGUCCUCAUGUGGGAUCCCUGGGUGGCGCAGCGGUUUAGCGCCUGCCUUUGGCCCAGGGCGCGAUCCUGGAGACCCGGGAUCGAAUCCCAUGUCGGGCUCCCUGCAUGGAGCCUGCUUCUCCCUCUGCCUGUGUCUCUGCCUCUCUCUCUCUCUCUCUCUCUCUCUCUCUCUGUGACUAUCAUAAAUAAAUAAAAAUUAAAAAAAAAGUCCUCAUGAUUAAUAUCUGUAACUAAUCAGUGUCAGCUGUGCUGUUGACUAGUUAGAUUUGCAUGUGAAAUGCCCCAUACAAAUAGGUGAAUUGUCUUCGUGUGUUUAUGGGAAAGGAGCUGUUGGAGAAUGAAAAUUGGUCCCUAAUCUGAAGAGGGGAGAUUUUGAAUAUGGAGUGGAGAUGCAAAUCUGGCAGUUUGUGACACUGUGAAUAAAUCUCUUCAUGGAGGAUUUCUUUAAGAUAGG